UUUCGCAAUGCCCGAAAGGGUGACGAUGCGACGCCGCGUGGAGGAUGAAGGCCUUCGGGUUGUAAACUCCUGUCAGGGCAACAGAAGGGAAGGGGGGGAAACUCCCCGACCUUGACUGAGCCCAAAGGAAGCCCCAGCUAACUCCGUGCCAGCAGCUGCGGUGAGACGGAGAGGGCGAGCGUUGUUCGGAAUUACUGGGCGUAAAGGGCACGUAGGCGGGUCCGUAUGUCAGGGGUGAAAGCCCCCGGCCCAACCGGGGAACGGCCUCUGAAACUGCGGACCUUGAGUGGAGCAGAGGGGAGUGGAACUCUCGGUGGAGCGGUGAAAUGCGUUGAUAUCGAGGGGAACACCAGCGGCGAAGGCGACUCCCUAUGCUUCUACUGACGCUGAGGUGCGAAAGCCAGGGGAGCGAACGGGAUUAGAUACCCCGGUAGUCCUGGCCCUAAACGGUGGGCACUAAGUAGAGGGGUUUUA
rnacentral:rRNA from 1 species